GACGAACGCUGGCGGCGUGCUUAACACAUGCAAGUCGAACGGAAAGGCCCUGCUUUUGUGGGGUGCUCGAGUGGCGAACGGGUGAGUAACACGUGAGUAACCUGCCCUUGACUUUGGGAUAACUUCAGGAAACUGGGGCUAAUACCGGAUAGGAGCUCCUGCUUCAUGGUGGGGGUUGGAAAGUUUCGGCGGUUGGGGAUGGACUCGCGGCUUAUCAGCUUGUUGGUGGGGUAGUGGCUUACCAAGGCUUUGACGGGUAGCCGGCCUGAGAGGGUGACCGGCAAAAUUGGGACUGAGAUAAGGCCCAGACUCGUACGGGAGGCAGAAGUGGGGAAUAUUGCACAAUGGGCGGAAGCCUGAUGCAGCAACGCCGCGUGCGGGAUGACGGCCUUCGGGUUGUAAACCGCUUUCGCCUGUGACGAAGCGUGAGUGACGGUAAUGGGUAAAGAAGCACCGGCUAACUACGUG
rnacentral:rRNA from 1 species